CUGGGUUGGAUGGGGCCCUGAGCAGCCUGAGCUGGUGGGGGGCAGCCAUGCCCACGGCACAGGGUUGGGGCUGGGUGGUCUAAGGUCCCUUCCAACCCAAACUGUUCUGUGAUUCUAUAUCACAAAAAGCAGUCCCCUCACAAGGCCUGAGGUGGUGGUGGGCUGCCCUCUGCCCACUCAAGCCUGCUGAAAUUUUAGUGCCAUGAUGCUGCUCCCCUACAUGAGACUCAUUCGCGGCAUUAAACAAAAAGUGCUUGGGGAAAGACUGCAGCACAAGAAGCAUUUGUAGAAAGUAUGUAUAAAGUAUAUUUGAACAGCACUUGCAUUUCAGGCAUUCAGUGUUGCUACCUGCCUAACUUACAAGCAAGAAAUGAAGCCGCACCUAAAUUAUUUCUAACUACGCUGUACCACUGAUCCUGAAGCUGCUUUUCAGCUGCUUGCCCAAGACACAGCAAGGAGCGAGCCCUUCCCUUCGGUUUGAUUUAAAAAGCACAGCGCCUGUGCUCAGCACUAAUCCCAGUGCCAAAGCUGAAGGCAGAGCACUGGCAGCAGUACUGGCCUGAGCUGCAUCCACCUGCGGAGGCAGAACAUCGCUGUGAGAGCCAGGAGCGUGCCUGCUUGAAAGAUCAUGUCUUAAAAAAAACGACGACAAAAAAAAACCAACUCAACGGGGAUGACAGUCACUCCAAAGGCAACGUACCUGCCGCCUUCUUUCUGCUGUCAGCUCCUGACCGAGCUCAGGGCCCCUCGUUUCCGCAAUGAAGGGAAACGGAGGGGGCCUGUGUAGUGCUGAAGGAGCAGGUGCGGUAUGUAAGACAUAGUUCAAUGGAGUUAAUGCUCGGUCCCUAGCAUCCAUAAAUAAAUAAACAGAUAUAUUCUUUUAAAUACUAGAUUUCUGAGAAAAGAGACCAGGGAGCCUUGGCGCGAGCAUCCGGGCGUUUCCCGCACUUGGUGCGACUGCUGGAGCCAUCCCGCGGCCGAGGCGGGAAACGCACAGCGCCUAAGGGCUCCUCUCGGGUCCCUCCUCAGGAGAACGUGACCCGAAUUCGCAGGCUGUUCCCUCAGAAGGCGCACAUCCCUGCGCGCUGAGCCGAAUACGCUUUGCCGCCCUCCUCUCUCGCUCCAUCCUGCCGCUGCCUUCCAGCCCUUCGGCUUUCACAGCUCCUUUCAAACUUUCUUACACUGCUUUUUUUUUUUUUUUUUCCUAAAAAAUCCUUUCCGGGAGGAGGGGGAGGCAGAAAGGCAGCCACGGCAAAUGCGCACGACCGCUCCAUUCUUAAUGGGUAUAAGGAGCGCACGUGUGGCGUGCCUCCCACAUCUCUAACUCCCGUUAGUUUUGCAGAGCAAUGAGGACCUCUUCGUGGGAGUGCAGUUCCCAUCCCUGCUUGCAGGCACUGCCCGUGCAAAUCGCUGCUGCUCCCGAUUCCCGGCUGCAGGACUCGCUGCACAGAGGCCACCGGGCCCUUCGAGCUGCCUCCAGCCCCUCGCUUUCCUCCGCACUCGGGCCGUGCCUCCUGCACGCACCGGCUCCCUUGGCUCGGGACUGGGGAUCCUAACGGGGCACAGCCAGCCUGGAAAAUGAGAGGCCGGAGGAGCCUGAGAGUUUAGCUUCUGAGGCUGCAGCACUCGGGUCUGUGAGGUUCAGGAGUGUUUUCGUUUCAUGCCGCAAGUGGAAAAGAUCUGAGAGCGAGGCAGCGAGCCCUCCGCAUGCUGCCUGGUCAUGUUGCUGUAAAUAGCCCGCCAGCCCCGGCGGGCAGCGCGCCUGCUUCCAGGUGCAUGGUGGUAUAAAAACCUCUGGAGCGGGCAUCGUCCUGCGGGAGCCUCCCAGCGCCCUGCACCACAUCAGCUCUUUCUCCGUGAUCUCUGCCCGGCAGCCACCAUUUCCCAACAAAAUGCAAAGAGCAGCAGACUGCCAAACUGCAGGAGGCGAAGCCUGUGAAGAGUCGUGCGACUCUGAGGACUGCACUUGCAGCUCCAAGUGCUCAUCAACAGCGGAAUCCAACUCAGGUAUAAUCCAGUUUAAAUGCUGUAAUUGCUGUGGCAUGCUGGCAUUUCAUCCCUUCAUUUUUCUGUCUUCAGAGAGUAGAUGUCAAUCUGUCACUUUUCUUCUUGAGCUCUACUUUUCCCAGUUUUUUUUUUUUUUCCUCUGUUGUAAUUUAUUUUUGGACCCAAUCUAGGAAGAGUAUUCUAACUCCAUAACUGACACGUAUCUUGUUAAAAGCCUCUGGCUUUUAUUUAGACAUCAGAGAUUUAUUUCUUAAGCAGCACCAGAGAGCAACUUUUCUGUAUUUUAUAUUUUGACAUCUGUAAAAUGCCCAUGGAAACAUCCACUCACAGAAUAGUUAGGGUUGGAAGGAACCUUAACGCUCGUCCAGUCCCAACCCCGUGCCGUGGGCAGGGCUGCCCCCCACCAGCGCAGGCUGCCCGGGGCCCCAUCCAACCUGGCCUCAGCGCCUCCAGGGAUGGGGUACCACAGCUCCUCUGGGCAGCCUGUUAAAAAUGCUGCUUCUGCUCCUUCAGCAGCCAGACUGUCCGCAUCUGGAGAGCAGAUGGUCUUGAGCCCAAUGACCCGACAGCGUUUCCAGUGCGUGCGCUCACGUACAAUAAUCACAAAAUACUUCCCAUCCUUUAACAAGCUGUGCAUUAACACAUGCAUACAAAAUACCCUUUUUGCCUUCUCUCUCUCUCUCUCAGAUUCACCAGUAAUUCUUAAAAUACUGCAGAACUGGGUUCCUAGAGUCUCCCACUACUUCGACAAAGAGCAUUAUACUUAUGCAGGCCAGCAGAUUGUCAUCCAGGAAUCCAUAGAACACUACGGAGCAGUGGUAUGGCCCGGGGUAAGUACUCAAUAUGCCAUCCAGGGAGCUGACAUGACAAAUAAGUCAGUUGUGACAAUGGCAGACAAACCUCAAGCCAAUCUUUUUUCAUUUAACACCUAUUCCUCGUGAGGAACUAAGCUGAGAAGUAGCAGAGCAGAAAGCUCCUCCUUACACUAAUUUGGUAGUUUGCACCAAAAUAAAUAGGGCACGUAAGUGAAUAGAUGGUAAAUUAUUUCCACUUACAGAAGACAAAAAAGAAAAACCAGGCGCACACCUACCUUCCUGUUUGUUAACUGAAGAUAUUGGAAAGAAAUGUUAAAAUUGUUUGGAAACAGCUGGAAAGAAAUGUUCAGCUUCUUCCACAUUUCCAGUUAGUCAGUGCUGGGAAGCAAACAAUCAGCAUGACAAAAAAGGAGGCUAAAGAAGAAAAUUGUGAAAGAUUAAAUAAGGGAUUUUAAAACAAUGAAAAUGUUUCUUUUAAAGAACAGUCUGGAACAAAACCACGGCAGUAUGGAAAAGCAUACUUGCAAACAGGUCUUCUCCAGUCUUUGUUCCUCCUGCUCUGAAAAAGAACUUAAGCAGACUCAGAAAAAUGCCUUUGAAGGAAGAGAGGGUUUCAGAAUUUUUCAGAUCCACAUUUAUUGGAAAAGCUCACCAAUAAUGUCUGACCAAAAAAAAAAAAAAAAAAAAAGAGAGAGAAAAAUCAAGUGUAUGGACAAGUGAAACAGUAUCUUAUCCCAGGAUGUCAGAACAUCAGUUCUCAAAUUAACCAGGUGUCAGAAUGCAGAUGGUAAAACUUUCCAAGAAAAGCAGGGGCUGCACAAAUUGGACUGGUGAUUCAUGAGCUGUCAGCCUUCCCAGAGCAGGUAGUGAGUGCUGCAUUAUGAAAAAGCACAGGACUCAAAACCCUAACACCAAGAUAAAGAGUAGAAUACUUUUAGACAUGCACGAAGCAUUUAUAUAGAUAUAAAUAUAUUUAAGAUUGGGAAGCAGUAAUUGUCCAACGCUGUGGUAAAUCAUCUUUUCAAUUUACAGUAUCGUCGAGGCAAGUUGGUAAAUAAUCAUUUCUUAAAGUUUCCUUCACAAAAAAAACAAAAAUCAAUUUUCAAAAAAUCUCUGCUGAAGCCUGAAUCUAUUUUAUGCUGACAAACCAGAACGUGAUUCUAAAGCACGGCAUGGCUUUUUGCAUGACAUGACAUCUCUUAUGUGCUGCUCGGUGUGUGGUUCCCAUCU